rnacentral:rRNA from 1 species
UACGGAGGGUGCAAGCGUUAUUCGGAAUCACUGGGCGUAAAGGACGCGUAGGCGGGUUAUCAAGUCUGAUGUGAAAUCCUAUGGCUUAACCAUAGAACUGCAUUGGAAACUGGUAACCUAGAGUAUGGAAGGGGGAGAUGGAAUUAGUGGUGUAGGGGUAAAAUCCGUAGAUAUCACUAGGAAUACCGAAAGCGAAGGCGAUCUCCUGGGACAUUACUGACGCUAAGGCGUGAAAGCGUGGGGAGCAAACGGG